GCGGCCGUGGCGAAAUUGGUAGACGCGUAACGUUGAGGUCGUUAUGAACUAAGUUCAUGGAGGUUCAAGUCCUCUCGGCCGCACCA
rnacentral:tRNA from 1 species